UGUCCAGGAGAUGGGAUUUAGUGGACUCUUAGAAAUACCUUCGAUUUGCAAGGUCAACCUCAACCUCAAGAUGAGCAUCUGAUCGCUUAGUAGAUUGGAUCCCACUACAUUUGAGGUGGUACUAUCUUAGAACUUGUGCAUUGCUAUCCAUGAGAAGGAUGUUGGUACUGUAUUUGGAAUUCCCUAUGGAGAGAUGGACAUGCUUAGCGCUAACAUUACACCCAAGGCGAUAGAAUAUCUUUGGUAUACCCUCGGUUUGGUUUGUCCAAAUGCUAGGAGUUUCAAGUGUGUUGAUUUUGUGUUUGAAGAGCACCUUGACGACAAAUCCAAUAGGCACGAGAUCGAUAGGUUCAAGAUAGCCUUUGUGAUAUAUGUGAUGGGUCAUCUAUUAGCUCCAUGUGCAAAGUGGGAUCAUGGAAGUAUUGAUUAUUGGGGGGCACUUAAGAAUGCAGAUCUGAUAGAUAGAUUCAAGUGGUGUUGACAUGUCUAUGGCCAUGUUCUGGAUGCAGCUUAGAAAGUUCGUGAAUCUGUUAGUCGACACCGUCCUGUGAGCUAUAUUACUAGCUGCCAUCUGUUUCUGCAGAUUAUGUUCUUAGACAAUAUAGACAUGCGGUUGCUGAACAAACCACACAACAUCCUGCAACGCAUCAGGGAUUUUGAUGCAGCGACAAUUCAGAAGAUGAUUCUCAUGAUCUUAGAAUGAAAUGGUAAUGGCUUCCGAUGCUCUUUAAGGCUGGCCACCUGGCACCUAUGUACAUGACGCACACAUUGCAAUUAGUUUACAUUCCUCCUGUCCCGAGAGAGACCAUUGAUGUAGCUCUUUCAGUUGAGAUUGGUGUACCAACUAUCAAAACCAAGACAUUUGCAUUCCAGUAUGCUGCUGACUUUGGUUCAUACCUAAGGAUUAAAUACCCAGGACUGGUCAAUAUUUCUCACUAUCUCUCUUUGUUCCAAUAACUGUAUGCUCAGUACUUAUCAAAAUGGCUUGCAUUUUUUUAGCACUCCUGCUAUGCAAUGGAUCAGCUAAAAUUGCACAAUGCAAAGCUGGUAAAGGAGAUUUCUCUGAUGCAUUCAGCAAUGAUGAAGCACAAUGCAUUAUUUGCUGACUGGCUUGUUGAUCAAAUGGGACCAAUGGUGUUGCAAGCGAUGCACAAGAAGGUUGGAGGUAGCGAUCUUGUUGAACAUCCCAACCCGGUCCACUCGGUACCAGUAAACGAAGGUGCGUAGCUAUGAUUACAAGAGAAGUGUUAGUACAUGUACACCUCCAUAGGAACAUUGAUAUUUACUCUGUUGUGCCUUUGAAUGUAGUUGUACAUUCUAAACUAGUGCAAUGGGCAUGUUCGUUAUCCAACUUUUCAAACAAUGGAGGUGUACAUUUAUUUGCCUUGGCUGCCUUGACAUGAUUUUUGUGUUCAAUGCUACUUGCAUUGAUUAUGCUUUGGCCUCUUUUGCAGAAAGCUCCAUUGGUAAUAGUGUCACCACUUUCAAGCGUUUCAGAUGGGGAUUAGACUCUAUCGAAUCUAAGAAAUUGAAGUGUAAUCUUGGUAUGUUGAAGUUCAUAACUUCUUUUUUUUU